rnacentral:rRNA from 1 species
CCUACGGGUGACAGCAGUGAGGAAUAUUGGUCAAUGGCCGAGAGGCUGAACCAGCCAAGUCGCGUGAGGGAAGACGGCCCUACGGGUUGUAAACCUCUUUUGUCGGGGAGUAAAGCGAGUCACGUGUGACUCAUUGUGAGUACUCUAUGAAAAAGCAUCGGCUAACUCCGUGCCAGCAGCCGCGGUAAUACGGAGGAUGCGAGCGUUAUCCGGAUUUAUUGGGUUUAAAGGGUGCGUAGGCGGAGGUGUAAGUCAGCGGUGAAAUUGCGGGGCUCAACCCCGUACUGCCGUUGAAACUGCAUCCCUUGAGUGCGCGAGAAGUAUGCGGAAUGCGUGGUGUAGCGGUGAAAUGCAUAGAUAUCACGCAGAACUCCGAUUGCGAAGGCAGCAUACCGGCGCGCAACUGACGCUCAUGCACGAAAGCGUGGGUAUCGAACAGGAUUAGAUACCCUGGUAGUC